rnacentral:rRNA from 1 species
UACGUAGGGCGCAAGCGUUGUCCGGAAUUAUUGGGCGUAAAGAGCUCGUAGGUGGUUUGUUACGUCUGCUGUGAAAACCUAGGGCUUAACCCUGGGCCUGCAGUGGAUACGGGCAGACUAGAGGUAGGUAGGGGAGAAUGGAAUUCCCGGUGUAGCAGUGAAAUGCGUAGAGAUCGGGAGGAACAUCUGUGGCGAAGGCGGCCACCUGGACCAGCACUGACACUGAGGCACGAAAGCGUGGGGAGCAAACAGG